GCACCGGUGGUGUAUGGUACACACGCCGCACCUGUGAUAUGAAAUUGAAUGUAGCGUACUACGGCGAAACGGGGUUCGAUUCCUCGCUGGUGCA